AGUGAACGCUGGCGGCAUGCCUAACACAUGCAAGUCGAACGAGAAAGUAUCUUCGGAUACGAGUAGAGUGGCGCACGGGUGAGUAACACGUAGGUAAUCUGCCUUUCGGUGGGGGAUAACUAGAGGAAACUCUGGCUAAUACCGCAUGAGAAGGAAACUUGAAAGGGUGCUUCGGCAUCCGCCGAUAGAGGAGCCUGCGUCGUAUUAGCUUGAUGGUGGGGUAAUGGCCUACCAUGGCGACGAUACGUAGCUGGUCUGAGAGGAUGAUCAGCCACACUGGAACUGAGACACGGUCCAG
rnacentral:rRNA from 1 species